GGCUCCGGUGGCCUGGUGGUUAGAGUGUCCGCCAUGGAUGCGUUUAGUCGUGGGUUCAAACCCCGACCGAGUCA